GAUGAACGCUGGCGGCGUGCCUAAUACAUGCAAGUCGAACGAACAGACGCUGCUCUUGGUCCACUCACGUUACCAACGGACGGGUGAGUCACAGGUGGAUAACCCACCUCUUAGACUUAGGUCACGUCGAGUAGCCGUAGCUCAGACUAGAAGAUAUAUUUAGCGUGAUGGUUGGAUAGUUAAUUAGGUGUUUGCUGAGCCUGAGAGAUAGAUGCGCGCUGGAGGAGUGAGGUGGUACGGUAGCGGCUUGGCAAGGCAACGAUGCGUAGCCGACCUGCGAGCGGGAACCGCGACACUGAGACUGAGACACGGUCCAGACUCCUACGGGAGGCAGCAGUAGGGAAUCGUCGGAGAUGGGCGAAAGCCUGACGGAGCAGCGCCGCGUGAGUGAUGAAGGUCCUCGGAUCGUAAAACUCUGUUAUGAGGGAAGAACAAAUGUGUAAGUAACGAAGCAUGUCUUGACGGUACCUAAACAGAAAGCCACGGCUAACUACGUG
rnacentral:rRNA from 1 species